rnacentral:misc_RNA from 1 species
UGGCUCCAGCAUCGAUGAAGAACGCAGCGAAACGCGAUAUGUAAUGUGAAUUGCAGAAUUCAGUGAAUCAUCGAAUCUUUGAACGCACAUGGCGCCUUCCAGUAUCCUGGGAGGCAUGCCUGUCCGAGCGUCGUUUCAACCCUCGAGCCCCAGUGGCCCGGCGUUGGGGAUCUGCCACGGCAGGCCCCGAAAUACAGCGGCGGACCCGUCGGGCCCUCUCCUUGCGUAGUAGCUUUAGCCUCGCAUCGGGAGCCCGCGCGGCGUCCACGCCCCUAAACCCCCCGCAAGCCCGCCCCCGGCGGCACCAAGGUUGACCUCGGAUCAGGUAGGAAUACCCGCUGA